ensembl:lncRNA
GUCAAAUAGUUUAUAAAAGGCAAAACUGUAUUUCAGUUACAGGUUCGGCUUCAUAAUUCUUAAGGUUAAUUAAGGCAGCCAAAUGUGCUUCAUGCCUGUCUGCUGUGGCUGUGUAGCUGUACAGAGUUGUGUAUCAUUAAAGGCUUUUCCUAUCAGUGACUGUAACAACAGUGACUAUCAGCACAUAUGUAUCUUAGUGUUUAGCCUAGGUGACAAGCAGCAGCAAUGUGCACUGUCCCUAUGUCUCAGAUAAACAUAAUGUCACUUGUGUGUAUGCAGCAAGUAAAGGAAGAGUUAAUGACAGCCUUAGAUCCUGUUAUGUGAUGUGAACACAACUGGAACACAGGUAGCACAGAAACAGUGUGUGCCCUGAUGCCAACCUGUGCCUACUCCUCCCUCCUUCAGCUGCCCCUUGCUGUGCUCUCUGGGGACAGUGAAUAUCUCCCAGGCUGGGGCUGGCAGGGAGCAGGAAUAUCUCUGGUAGGGCUGCAUGGACAGGCCAGCAUCACACCACAGGGCAUCUCCUGGGGCCUGAGGCUGGGCUGCUCCUGAUGUCUCAGUGCCUCCUACUUGGGAUUAGAUGAGUGCCAGGCAAGGAAUCCCCCGCUGCCAGGGGAAUCCCAGCCUGGCACUUCACAGUGUUUUUAAGGAUGGCAAGGAGCCUUAUCGAGCCUCUACAUCUGCCCCAGAUGCUUUACAUUCCAGUGAUGUGCCACAGAUGUGCUGAACCCUACAGCACAAAGACUACAGCAUCUCACUGUCCCCAGGGCCAGCAGUUGCUGGUAGGCUCCAUCCCAGACACAGUGGACAGGAGCAGCGUCGUUGCCAAAGAUGUCCCAUGGAGUCAAUAGCAGGUGACACAGCCCUGCCCCUCACCUGUGUCAGCUGGACCACGCGUUGGGUGCCUCCUGUGCAGGGAACAGCAAAGUUCAGGCAAACAGAAGGGAGAGGAGGAGUGUUUUCCAGCCUGGCAGCUCUGAGAGUGCAUUGAGAGUCCAUCGUUGGGUUUCAGCUUGAGUUGCUCUGCAGUGGGGCGUGCCCUGGGGAGCAACCUGCUCCCAAAGGACUCAAUAAUUCAGCAUAUCAUCCUCCCAAGUGCUGGUGUCUCUCACCCCAGUGUUUCACCACUUCAUCGCUGCAUCAACGCAAUUCAUGCCCCAUCACUCUAUCUCCCAUUUCUUGGUGUUGCGCCCUUUUGGGGCUUCUUUCUCUUUAAGAGGAAACUCGGCGGAAGCCGAGCUAUUCAAUAUUGUUUCGUAUUAUUUGGUUGUGAAACAAUUUAAUUUGUUUAUGGCUCUAAAGGUCAGAUUUGACUGUUACCCAAAUUUCUGAAGAAUAAAGAAUGAAUCAGGCUGAAGGGGAUUUUGUGGCAUGAUAAAACGGAGAAAGAGAAGGGGGCUAGUGAGAAUAUUUAACUGGAACAGCAAGGCAAACUUACCUUCAGCUCAGGUUUAAAAGCCUAGUCAAUCAUUAGACAUUUUUUAUUAUUUACCUGGUACAAAAUCCCCCCAGGAGAAGAAGUAGAAAAACUCACAGGCCACAUUCUUGCAAAUUUUAGUAGCUUGCCCAACAUUUUCUUUCUUUUUUUCUUUUUCUUUUCUGUGAUUCAGAACAAUUUGAGUGGUACAGAUCACAUAGGUGCAUUCACAGAUCAGAAACAAGGAGGAAGCGCACGGUGGUUGUGGAUCCAAGCAGGGGAUGUUUGUAACAGUGAUGAGAGCAGGGCCAGCCCGGGACUUUGAGAAGGAAGGUGAUUCUCACACAGUGAGCAGAAGACAAAGGUUGCAUUUACACCUGGCCAGAGGUUUAAUCAUCUACCAUUUCCAAACAUUGCAGGCUCACAGUCUGUUGUGUCUGAGAUCAUAAAACAUAUCACAAACUGGAGACAAGAAAGCUGGGGCUUGAUUGACCAGAGCUUAUCUUUUCUUUUUCCUACUUCUUAUUUUUCACUCAAUUUUCUGCUUAAAGAAAGAAAGAAAGAAAGAAAGAAAGAAAGAAAGAAAGAAAGAAAGAAAGAAAGAAAAAGGAAAAGAAAAAGAAAAAGAAAAAAAGAAAAAGAAAAAGAGAGAGAAAAAAAAGCAUUUUCAAAAGGACUUGUGAUCCCUAAAUGCUUACCUGAUACAGCAGAAAACACGAUGCAAAGUAAUUCUGAAAACCAGGGAGGAUUUCUAUUCCUCUCUGCCUCCCCACUCCAGGUGCUGGGGAGCCCACCUGGCUGCCCAAAGCUCCAUCCCAGGCUUUCAGGGAGAAGAGAAACUGAGGAAAAGUGACCAAAAGGUGGAGAGAAAUAUUCAAAGAGGAAUGGGUAGAAGCCUCUCUCAUGGAUUAGUUUUCCAGGUCCUAACAUAACAACAUCCAACACUGAACCAUCUGAACCUGAAUCUGUAGGCAGCUUUCGUCUUUUUUUUUUUUGGUGUGUGGAUGUUUGAAUUAUGGCAAUGUUUUAAGGAGAGUCUGGAUGUGAUGGGAGGGGUUUUUUUUUUUUUUGGAACGUUUGCAGCAUUUUUGCACUUCUUGUAUGCAGUUGGUUUCUUCUGAUCUCGUAGCCCAGCGCUGCCAGUGAGGCUGGCAGGUCUGUUGGGCAAGACCAGUGACUCCCAUGGCAAAGAGAGGCCAUUCCUGCUUCCUUCUCCUGAUGGCCUCUGCAGGGUCAUUGCCCUUAGCUGAGCAACUGCAGCCAGGCUGUGGGCAGGAGCGGGGACUUAAAACACAUGGGGUUUCCCACUGAUAGUUGUGAUGGGCUGUAGGAGUGUGGAAUGACCAGGGCAUGGCCACAGCUGUCAUCCCUCCUGAGGGCUGGGCCUGCGGUGUUCAGGAGGGACCUGGAAGAGGGGAUGUUCCUUUGCACCUCAUUUGGGUGCUUCAGUGCUGAUUCAUCAAAGCACUUAGCGCCAGGAGGAGGAACCCGCCCUGUUGGGAUGAAGGUUUGCACUGCUGACUUCAAAGGGGGCCCGAUUUAACCCUUUAACUUCAGUGGGGUUUGGGACCCUGUUUGAAGAAGCAGAAUGAAGAAGCCUUUGUGUAGACUCGCAUCAGGUCUCCCAUGCUAAGAUUGCAUUGACCUUCACGAGGUGCCUGGAGGAGCAACUGCUGGAGUUGACAGGACCCUGUGUAUGCCAGCGUCUGUGGAGGUUCAGGUAUAUCUCUCCAACAGUAAAUGGCAAGGAUACAACUCUUUGAAAGAUAAUGGCAGGACAAGGGGAAAUGGUUUUAAGUUGAAGGAGGGAAGAUUUAGGUUGGAUGUCAGGGGGAAAUUCUUUACCAAGAGAGUGGUGAGGUGCUGGAACAGGCUGCCCAGAGAGGUCGUGGAUGCCCUGUUCCUGGAGGUGUUCAGGGCCAGGUUGGAUGGGGCCCUGGGCAGCCUGGUCUAGUAUUAAAUGUGGAGGUUGGUGGCCCUGACUGUGGCAGGGGGGUUGGAGCUUCAUGAUCCUUGAGAUCCCUUCCAACCUGGGCCAUUCUGUGAUUCUAUGAUUCCAUGAUAUGAUAGUGCCUUGUGUCUUUAGAAUAACAGGUAAAACCAAAGCUCAUGUGUACCUGUGGUUUCAUCUCUCAAAUUUCAACCUAGGAAAUCAGACUGUAACCACCAGUGAGUCUAUUCUUGAAUCAUGGGUGUUCUAUUUUUUUUGCUAGCAGGCAGCUCACUGCAGAUAUCCAGUCCUUGUGCAUACAAACACAGCAUUUGGUGCUUUUCCAGGGAAGACACCAGCUUGCAGGAAACCACUGAAAUGUGUAUAGCAAUUUUCCUCUCAUUUUUACACUCAGUAAGAAAUCAAAUUCUCUUAUGUGAGUGGAGCAGGCAUCUGCAAUUCGUGAUGCGCUCAGCAUAACAGUGAUGUUAACCACCCCAUCUGGUAAUCUGAGUGAUAACAACAUCGCCUCAGCUCUGAUGUUCCUGCUGGUACUGUAGUUCGUGUCAUUGCCAUUAGCAGCAUGUGCCCACCAUCCUCUUCCUACAGAGCUGGUUGCAGUUUGGGACAUAUCCUUUUAGAGCCUCAUCCCUUGAGGCGUUGUUAUCUGCAUCUCAACCUCUCCAUCCCCAUUGGAGCUGCAUCUUCCUACCAUCUUUUACCACUUCCAAGAAAUCGUCCUGAUGAGGCAUCCAGGAAUGGGAUGUGGUGGCAGGGGCACUGCGAGCUCCCCAAUAGGACUGUUGCCUGCAUUUUACAAGUAGGAGCAGCAUUGUGCAAGGGCAGAUGGCCGAACCUGCAGAACUAGUUUCAGCCAUAAAUGCUCGGAGCACCCUGAAUGUUUGGUGGCUUUUUUUUUUUUUCUUCUUCUUCUUCUUCUUUUUUUUUUUUUUUUUUUUGAAGGCUGAAAUAUAUUUGGGAAGUACUUGUUCAAACUACAGAGCCAGUCAAAUAUUAACAAGUGGAAACUGAGGGAAAAAAAAAAAAAAAAGAAAAAAAAAGAGAUACUUUGAAGGGCUGAAACUUGUGUGGGUUCUUGCUGUAUUUGCCAAACUACAAUCACUGGGGCCACACUUGCGACAGGCUAAAACGCUGCUGUGAAUAGAAAGUACAUCAUAAGGGUUCUCAAAUACGAAAGUGGGGCUGGAACAAAGGGCAGGCACCAGACAGACUUCCCCUGUUACGAUUACCAGCGUGUCACCCUGGUGCCAGCAGUCUGGUGGCGGCAGCGGGCGGCCGCCUCGCGCCGAACGCCACCGGGCAGCUCUGAAACCCUGCACAGCCCCGCUCUGUGUGCAGCCUCGGUGCAGCAGAAAGAGUUUUAUCUCCCCUGUUCGGAGAGUGUUUGCUUUAAAGAUGAUCUACCACAAUUGACCAUUACCGAAUUUCCUAAAUUGAGCCCGAGGCUUGGUUGCUAUUCCGUAAGGUGCUGUUGCAGAGCAGUGUGCAGGAGGUGUGUUAAUCGAUGGGUAGCAUCUCCGAUACAACACCUACAGGUCAGCAGUGCACAUGACCCAUUUGGGUGCUGAUGAGAUUUCUUCACUAAUAGUGCUGCUGGUUCCAGUGCUGCGCGAAUGCUCUUCCUCCGCUUGAAUGGGAGGCAAUACAAAGACGCAUUGUUUCAUGUAUAUUUUGUUGGGAAAAUUACCAAACAUUUAUAUUAGAACAUUUGACAACGGUGUCAACAACAUUUCCCUGGGCUGCUGCUUAAUAUACCUUAAUUAUUAGUUUUCCACAUGGUGGCUCUUUUAAUCUGUUCUUAUUAAACUCUUCCACGUUCCACUAAUAUUGUCGCUGUGUUUCUUUUGAAGGAAACAAGUGUGUGUACCGAAAGAUUAGAUUAUCCUGCCCCUUUCUGGGGGCAGAAAUGUCUUCAAAAUGAAGUACAUCAAAAGUAAAAGUAGGUGACAAAUGUUAAUAUUUGCAAAGUGCUUCUGCUUUGAUCCCGCAUUUCUAUUUUUUUAAGAGUUUGACAAAUGUGUCCUGUGGUUUGGCUUCAAACCUCUUUGCCCAGCGCUUUACUUGACCCACAACCCAUUUGAUCUUCCACUUGUUUUUUCUUCUGUCCAGGAGGCCUCCGGACUCGAUAAAGGACAGUUCUUAUCUCCCACUCGCUGUUGUUCAGAGGCAUCAUUUUUUAUUUUCGGUUGGAUUAGGUUAUUGUGUCUGUUUGCUUAGGCGAUUUCUAAAGAGACAUUCUCAUUGCAGUUAUUCUUUGUGAUGGUCGCCUUCCCGUUCUCAAGCCAGUAACAGCUAGAUCCGAUCAGGACCUGGAUGCGCCCACUGAUUCUGGCACGGGAUGUGAGGCAGCAGGGCUGAUGGCUGGCUGCCACUGGGUUCCAUCACAUAAUUAUCAUGCAUCAUGUCCCUGAUACCAAAGUAGAGAGGCUUUCUAUUAGUUAAUAACCAGAUCCCAUGAGGAGCUCUGGAGAGGAUUUGUCUGGGUACAGGGAUCCUAUUGAUCUUAGUGUUGCCCCAAAACCCAUUCGGCCACUUCUGAUCCUGACCCUGCUAUUGUCCCUCGUGUGCCUGACCUCCUGCGUACCGAUAGCUUUAAAGAGAUGAACAAUCAAGCACAGCCUGAAUUGGAUGAGUGCUCGCCUGUGUGACAGUGUGGGAAGAUUCCCUACAAGUAGAGGUGCCCCUACAGUACGUCAGGUGGUGACAGGGGGUCGCUGCUGCCACACUUCAGGACAGCACUUCUGCCAGGCUCCUGCGUGCUGCGUGUUCAUUUUAGGAUUCUGUAUUCCUUGCAGGUAGUGGGGCUUCAGUGAAUUGCACUCCAACUCUGUCCCUAGGAAAAGGCAUUGCCACAAGUGAGAUUAAUUCCACCAGUGUAGCAAGAGAUAUGUGUGCUUUGAAUAAGGGUGGACGUGAGGAGAAGGGGAGCUUGCUUUUAGGAGCAAUAGUUACAAUGCCUUUCCUAACUGGGGUCAUCAGCCGGGGUGUUAGAACAGUAAAAAUAUCUUUGCUGCUAUAUUUCUUGUCUUAAUGGGAGUGUGACAGCUGUCAGCUCUCUGUCUCAUUCCUCCUCCUGCAGAACACAUGCAGGGAAGGCAUGCAGCAAGGCAUGGAGAUUUUCAUGGGUACGGCUGGGUGUCAGUAAAAAAAAAAAAAGAGAACAACAUGAAAAAUCCUGAGAAUGAGGAAAACGGUGAUGAUGGCACUCAGAGAUCCAGGGAGAGUCUAGCUAGGUAAACACUUCAUCACUGCACUGGCCUCUUCUUUGUUUGUCUAUCACUUUCCUUUCUCUCAUUUUUAAUGCAGAACUAUUUCCUUUUGCUCUUACAAGUAUAGGAAUCCUUCUGCAGGCAGCAUUGUAUCUUCUAACACUUUACACUUAGUCAGGCACUCUACCUUUCACAGGGUGUCAGAAUGCUUUUCUUCUGAGAGAACAAUUUUAUUUUAUGUUUUAAAAAACAGCACCAGGGUAUUGCACCUUUUUACUUUAAGGAAUAUCUGCAGCCAGAUCAGCUCUUGCUUUCCAAUGCUGUUUUCACAGGCAUUUCCUGAAGACGGACUAUCAGACAAAAUGCUGACUUUAGCCUUUUCUUUAUCCUCUGUGUUCAGUAUUAUUUUAUUCCUCUUGUUUGUUUUUGCAGUUUCUUUUUCUGGGUUUUACUGAGAGCAUUCUGCCAGAAGACCAGGAGGUUCAGCACCAGCAGUGUGUCAGCUCAGAAGCUGUGCGUGUCUCUGCUGGAGCCAUCCCUCAGCUUGCUUUAUGAUUUAUGACCAAACUAAGAUAAACAAUUAAUCAUAAUUAAGGAAUGAAUCAGAUAAAGAAAUUUCUCUGCUUGGGGGAUUCUUCUGGUGGCCAAAAUCUGCUGUCGUGUCCCUCACUCCACCUCUCAGCUUGCAGGAGUCCAAGUGGGAAAGCGGAAAUAACUAAUGCUUGGUGCUGUGCUGGCUUCACAGAAUUACAGAAUCACAGAAUGGUUUGGGUUGGAAGGGACCUCAAAGCCCACCCAGUCCCACCCCGUGCUGUGGGCAGGGCUGCCACCCAGCAGCUCAGCUGCCCAGGGCUCCAUCCAACCUGGCCUUGAGCACCUCCAGGGAUGGGGCACCACAGCUUCUCUGGGCAGCUAUGCCAGCGCCUCACUGCCAUCUGAGUGAAGAAUUUCUUCCUAACACCUCUUUUGGAUUUCCUCUCUUUAACCUUAAAUCCAUUCCUGCUUUUCCUAUCACUAAUAGACUGUAAAAAGUCGGUUCCCCUCUUGCUUGUAAGCUCCUCUCAAGUGCUGGAAGACUGCAACAAGGUCUCCCUGGAGACCUCUCCAAGCUAGUCUCAGAGUGCCAGAAAUGUCAUUAAUCUACCUCUGAAUAUGUCCCAUUAGUCCUGAAAUAUUCAGCAGCUUCUGAGGCUGGUAGACUGCUGCUUUUCCUCAAUGGUUGUUAGCAAUAGGAUGCAAGAAGGUGUGGUUUCUCCUUAAGCACAGUCUUUCCUAGUGGAAAGAAAAAAAAAAAAAAACACCAAACAAACAUGUAAAAUGGAGAAUGCAAUCUAAUAAAUAUUAGUAUUAAAUGUUUUGUUUUAAGAAAUUUCUCGUCUCCUCUGUAGCCUUCCUACUCUUGUGCCCUCUCUCUUACAUGUGAACACAAAUUUCCCAGCAUUUCCUGAGGUGACUCAGAAAGGAGCAGGUGUAAUGCUCAUGUCCUGGGCACUGGUGGGCUCAGCAGCAAUUGCCUGGUCUGCCUGAAGAUGGAAUAUGUGUGAGGGAAGGGUGUACACAAGCUGGACUUGGGUGCCAAAAAGCAGCCUCUCCAUGGAGCUCUCCUCUUCCUCGGGUGAACCAUCUGCUGCACUGUUUUGUUGUACUCCACACAAAAGGGAAAGGUGUCUCGUAAAAGACAAGAGAUGUUAAACCGCAUCUAAGAGCUAAUUGCCCAGGGUCAAUGAUGGCUAGAGAGACUGAAAAACAGAGAGAAAUUUAACUCUGUUUUAGACUGGACGCUGACAUUAGGAUUAAACAGGUCACCCUACAGAGAUGCCCCAUCCCUGGAGACACCCAAGAUCAGGCUGGACAGGGCUCUGAGCACCUGACUGAGCUGUGGGUAUCCCUGUUCAUUGCAGGGGAGUUGGACUAGACGGCCUUUAGAGGUUCCUCCCAGCUCAAACAGCUCCAUGAUUCUAUGAUUCUAUUUCCCCCAAAAAGAAACAUGGCUUACGUAGAUGUAUCACAUUUACAAAGUUGAGAAUCCAGCCUUCAAAUACUUCACAUUCCUCAUACAGCUCAUGGCUCUAACAGAUUCUAAAGGCUUAAACUGCUCUUGCUCUGCGGGAGUGCUGUGGGAUUAUGAAUGUACAGCAGGUGCAGCUGUGCUGCGGGGAGCAGGAGAAAAGAGUGAAGAAUGCAGAGAGAUGGACCCAGUGCACCUCUGAGGAGUGGUCCUGAGCAUUUAUGCUCUGCACACCUGUGCUGCUGCUCUGAUCACCUCUGAUGUUUUGCCAUCCACUCCAAAUUUUUCAUGUUUUCCUGAUGCAGCCAGAUGGGCAUCCCAAGAGUUCAAAAUCUGCUGUGUCUGCUUUCCUAUAUCUGAUUUCAAUGCUACUUGUGUGGGUAAAUUAUGUAAAUAGAAUUGCAGGUUGACCCCCUUCAUGGGUACAGCCUAACCCUAAUCCCACUAAGGAUUUAGUCUGUGAGAUGCACUUCUGUACCUCUAAUCUGUGCCUCUGCUCCUCUGUUUGUCCUGGUUCAGCCCAAAUAUGACCCUGUUUGAUGGGAGACUGCCCAGCAGUGUGUCUCAAGCAGAGCCUGGCCCAGGAGGGGCAAUGCCAGCCUUGGCUCUGGUGGGACACUCAUGCUUGCUGGCUCUCCUCCAUACCAUGCAACAAGUGGAAAGUCUGCCUUCUGCUUUUACAUUUGUGGAAGUGUGACUGGCUUUUUGUCUUGACUCUAGAAGAGUUGAGAGCCUCCAGGGAGGAUGGAAUAGCAGGAAGAAAAGUACGCACAGCAGCCUGAGGAAUGGAAACUUUUGUAAGUGGGGUAGUUCGGUGUUGUUAUAACACCUGUCAAGAGUAGGAAAUAAUACCUUGACCCUUUCCUGGCACUGCUCAGGCAGGUGCUGAUACAGUGAUGGAUGUUACUUACACAGGGAGAAGGGGGGAGGCAGGAGGAGGGGCUCG